UACGUAGGUGGCAAGCGUUGUCCGGAUUUACUGGGCGUAAAGAGCGCGCAGGCGGUCGUUCAAGUCGCGUGUGAAAGCCCCCGGCUCAACUGGGGAGGGUCACGCGAUACUGAUCGACUCGAAGGCAGGAGAGGGAAGUGGAAUUCCAGGUGUAGCGGUGAAAUGCGUAGAUAUCGAGAGGAACACCAGUGGCGAAGGCGAGUCUCUGGACGACUCCUGACACUGAGGCACGAAAGCUGGGGGAGCAAACAGG
rnacentral:rRNA from 1 species